rnacentral:rRNA from 1 species
UACGUAGGGCGCAAGCGUUAUCCGGAAUUAUUGGGCGUAAAAGAGCUCGUAGGCGGUUUUGUCGCGUCUGCCCGUGAAAAGUCCCGGGGGGCUCAAACUCCGGGAUCUGCGGUGGGGUACGGGGCAGACUAGAGUGAUGUAGGGGGAGACUGGAAUUCCUGGUGUAGCGGUGAAAAUGCGCAGAUAUCAGGAGGAAACACCCGAUGGCGAAGGCAGGUCUCUGGGGCAUUUAAACUACGU